AAGUCGUAACAAGGUUUCCGUAGGUGAACCUGCGGAAGGAUCAUUAACGUAUCUCCGACGGCGAGGGGGCGCCCCGCUCCGGGUCCGAAAGGCCCCGUGCAGCGGGUGGUCCCGAGCCGCUCGACCCCUUUGCAAACCCCACUGUGCACAUUUGUCGGCAGAGGGCGCUCAGGCGCCCCGAGCCGCACACACAAACCCCAAAAAAACUAAAAGAAUGAUCAGCGGACACUGUGCCGCCUAAACUUUAACAACUUUCAACAACGGAUCUCUUGGCUCUC
rnacentral:misc_RNA from 1 species